AUGGACACACUAGAAGAAAGGGCAGAAAAAGAUACACAAUGCUCAGAUGUCAUUGGACUACUAACACAAAUGAAGCCUGUGGAGACAAGAAUAACAAAGAAGAACCCACAACCUUCAUAUCUCCACGAGAUUGAAAUCCUAAUGCCAGAGGACUCGACAGAAGAAACCUUACCAAAAAUGAUUAGUAUAGAUAGAAGUAAUAAAGGAACAUUAGAAGAACAAAUGUUUUAUAGGAGGAGAACAUUACAAGAACUUACUACCAUGAGGCACGAAAACCAGCCAGGCCAGAAAAGGUCACACCUCGUAAAAAGAACAUUUGUGCCUAAUGAUAAGCUUGAGAUGCUCUACUUGGCCAAUAAAGCCGAGGAGGAACUGAUGGAUGAUGAAGUUGACACCGUGUUAAUGAAGAAGCAGAACAUGCUGGAUAGAAAGAGGACUACAUUAAACAAAGAUAAGCGUCAAGACAAAGUAUCAUCAUCAUCACGUGUGCUCCGAAGUGGCAAUAAAAGGAGACUUAGAUCUGUUGCAAUAUCAGAUAGCUCAGAGGAUGAAUGCACUGAGACGAAUAUGCUUGAACAAAAGGACAAAGGUGCCCGCGGGAACAGGAAACGUGUUAAGGCAAAAUCCAAAAAUACAAUGCUUGAAGAUGAAGAUGAAGUAUGGAAAGCAAAGCCCAGGAGAACAAGGAUGUUAUGUAGAUAA
rnacentral:rRNA from 1 species